rnacentral:tRNA from 1 species
GGGCCCAUAGCUCAGUUGGUUAGAGCAGAGGACUCAUAAUCCUUUGGUCGUAGGUUCGAGUCCUACUGGGCCCACCA